rnacentral:rRNA from 1 species
AUGAGGCACUAUUUUGUGGAUAAUCCCGUGUACCCCGAGUCGUACUUUCGGCGCCGGUUUAGGAUGACCACCAAGUUGUUCAGGCGCAUUGCAGAGAAACUGGCGAGCCAUGAUCGGUUUUUUCAGCAAAGGAGGAAUGCCGCCGGAGAGCUUGGGCAUAGCACCUUUAAGAAGGUGACAGCCGCUUUGCGUAUGUUGGCAUACGGUGUUCCGGCUGAUCUAGUUGAUGACCACUUGGCCAUGGGUGAGAGUCAAGCCAUCAUGUGUGUCAAGCGCUUGAUGACCCACAAGUAUAAGGGAUCAAUCGUAGUCCUUUCGACAAGUAAGAGUGUCGAACCCAACGAGGAGUAG